rnacentral:rRNA from 1 species
AUUGAACGCUGGCGGCGUGCCUAAUACACGCAAGUCGAGCGAAGCGGGGCCGGGUGAGUAACACGUGGAUAACCUCCUAUAAGACUGGGAUAACUUCGGGAAACCGGAGCUAAACCGGAUCCUUAUAGAUGGAUCUUCGCUGCAUUAGCUAGUUGGUAAGGUAACGGCUUACCAAGGCAACGAUGCAUAGCCGACCUGAGAGGGUGAUGGGCCCCACUGGAACGGAGACACGGUCCAGACUCCUACGGGAGGCAGCAGUAGGGAAUCUUCCGCAAUGGGCGAAAGCCUGACGGAGCAACGCCGCGUGAGUGAUGAAGGUCUUCGGAUCGUAAAGCUCUGGUAUUAGGGAAGCGGUACCUAAUCAGAAAGCCACGGCUAACUACGUGCCAGCAGCCGCGGAAAUUC